rnacentral:rRNA from 1 species
CAUGUGGUUUAAUUCGAUGCAACGCGAAGAACUUACCAGGGCUUGACAUCCGGGAACCUGCUGAAAGGGUGGGGUGCCCGCAAGGGAGUCCCGGAGACAGGUGGUGCAUGGCUGUCGUCAGCUCGUGUCGUGAGAUGUUGGAUUAAGUUCCGCAACGAGCGCAACCCUCGUUGCCUGUUGCCAGCACGUGAUGGUGGGCACUCAGGCGAGACUGCCGCAGCAAUGUGGAGGAAGGUGGGGAUGACGUCAAGUCAGCAUGCCCGUACGCCCUGGGCUACACACAUACUACAAUGCGAGGAGCAAACAGUUGCGAACCCGCGAGGGGGAGCUAAUCUGAGAAGGCCUCGCUCAGUGCAGAUUGCAGGCUGCAACUCGCCUGCAUGAAGGCGGAAUCGCUAGUAACCGUCGGUCAGCAUUACGACGGUGAAUACGUUCCCGGGCCUU